rnacentral:rRNA from 1 species
AGAGUUUGAUCCUGGCUCAGAACGAACGCUGGCGGCGUGGCUAAGGCAUGCAAGUCGAACGGGACGCUUGUGAUGGUAACAUUUCGGGCGUUUAGUGGCGAACGGGUGAGUAAUGCAUGGGUAACGUACCUCGGACUCAGGGAUAGCGGCGUCCUUCGGGACUUUAGCGAAAGUGCCGGUAAUACCUGACGACAUCUUGGAGUCACAUGGCUCUGGGAUCAAAGAUGGGGAUCCUUCGGGACCUAUCGGUCGGAGAUCGGCCCAUGUCCUAUCAGCUUGUUGGUGGGGUAACGGCCUACCAAGGCUUUGACGGGUAGCCGGCGUGAGAGCGCGAUCGGCCACAUCGGGACUGAGACACUGCCCGGACACCUACGGGUGGCUGCAGCAACGAAUAUUCCGCAAUGGACGAAAGUCUGACGGAGCGACGCCGCGUGGAGGAUGAAGUCUUUCGGGAUGUAAACUUCAAUAAUAGACCAGGAAGUAAACCGGGUUAAUACCCCGGUGCGCUGACCAAUUUAUGAAAAGGGGCGGCUAACUCCGUGCCAGCAGCCGCGGUAACACGGAGGCCCUGAGCGUUGUUCGGAAUCACUGGGCUUAAAGAGCGUGUAGGCGGGACGGCAAGUACUUUGUGAAAUCCCCGGCUUCAAUCCGGGAACUGCUUGGUAUACUG